CAAUGAGAGUUGUGCUAAGGUAGCAUAAUAAUUUGAUUUUUAAUUGAAAUCUGGGAUGAAAGGGGCAAUGAAAUUAUAACUUUUUUUAUAAUAAAUUAAAAUUUUAUUUACAAGUGAAAAAGCUUGUAUAAUUUUAUAAGACGAGAAGACCCCAAGAAUUGUUGUUAAUAUAAGGUUAUAAGAUCUUAAUUAGACUUAGCUGGGGCGGCUUGUAAGUAUAAUAACCUUACAAAUAAGAAACUACCAUAGGAUUAGUUUGAAGUUUACAUAAUUAUUAGAAAAUUACCUUGGGGAUAACAGCGUAAUUUAAAUUUAAAGUUCAUAUAAAAAUUAAAGUUUGCGACCUCGAUGUUGGAUUAAGAAAAUAG
rnacentral:rRNA from 1 species